AAGGCAGAAGCCCCAAGUUUGCCCAUCUGGGCAGAGGGAUCCUCCUCCUCUCAUCACUGGUGCUGGGUCUCCUUAGGCUGAGCUUCUCUUUGUUUAGGUGCUUCCUUCUGCUUGCUCAUGAAGAGUUGAAGUACUUGGUGGAACUGGAAGCUCACAGGAGGUAACUCUGAAUCAAAUGAACCUUGUAAAGGAAGAGCUAAAGAAGUUAACACACAUUUUCUACCAACAUGAAUGGACAUGAACUGCAGUUGCUUCUAUCAUUGUUACUUUUUAUGUCAAAAUGAUGCUAUUCAGCAUAUUGUGUCCUAUUUUUACCACGCAUUCUGCGUCAUGAAGUUUUAUGGAAACUGAAGACAUUUUAUCAAAGGACAAAAAAGCCCCAAACUGUAGUGUUGUAUUUAAUCAGCCUUGCAUGUAUAUUUUUCUAUUCUGCUAAAUAGGUGAUAGUGCUUUUCUCUAUGCUACUGAAUAAAUUUCAUAUUUAUUCUGGUUGAAUUUGUGCUAACAUAAAAGGAAAAGUAUCCACAUCUUUCAGCAAGGUUAUGACAGUGACUACUGUGAAAGCAGGUUCGGUUAUCUAAAGUAAUCUAAAUUGGAGCAAGGCUGUAAGUCAAAUAACAAAGGAUCCUGACAUAGCUGUGAUAUACUUAAUUUCUUUUCUCAUUAAGGAAUGAUACAGUGUCCUUAAGAGACAGUCAUUUUCUGAGUACCUCAGGGGACCAGAUUAAUGUGGAACUACUAGUAAAGUGCCUAAAUGGACUCAAUCAAGACCAAGUGAAAUCCAUACUAGGACUAUUAAAAUGAUAGAAGGAGAAAUUACAAAAUCCUAUUACUGUGGAGAUCUGUCUUCUUAUAUGCUUGGGGGAAAAAAAAACAGAGGAGAGUGAAAGUGAUCUAUCCUUUCUCCUUGCCAGUUCUCCACCAGGUUCCUGAGAGACUUUGAUACAAUAAAUAGUUUUUAUUAUUUAUUUACAUUUUAAAAUAACUACUAGACAAUAUGUUUCUUUGUUUAUUCUCUCUGCUCAUAUGUAAGCAAGACAUAACCUCUUGGUGCAGAAGGUUGUCUCCUUGCUGAGCAGUGCUAAUGAAGUUUACCUAUCACUCAGGAAGAUAUAAGUAGGGCGUAAAUGAUUUAUAGUCCUCACACCAGUCAUCUGACUGCAUGUAAAUUUUGUGAUGUUUGUAAGCAGUGUGAGUCUGAAUGGAGGGCAGUGUGUCAUGUUUAAUGCUUCAGUUAGAUAAGAUUUUGGCUUAUCAGGAGAAGUAGUUUUCUAUUGGGGAAAAGAAGGCCACCAUGUUCUUGCUUUGUAGAGCAGAUUCCUGCAUUUGAGCAGAUUUCUACAUUAGGAGAAUUGUAAAUACUUAGUUUUAUGGCAAUAACUGCAGCAAGGAGCUCUUAGUUUCCAGAAUUAUUUCGUUUUCAUCCAUAUUCUUGCCACUCUGUAAUGAAAUUUUAGGCUAUUUCACUUCCAUUUCAGUUUGCUUUUGUGUCUCUUUGUCCUUGCUUCUAGUAUAAGCCAGGGGAACUGUUGCUGUAGUGUAAAAUCAUAAUCAGCUUCGUAAAAAGACUUGAAAAUAAUUCCAGACAGCAAGGCUGGGAAGAGAAAGUUCUCCUCAACCAUCCACUUGUGAGCUGAGAGGAAGAUCACAGCUUUGCUACAAAAUGCUAUCCUCCACUGUUUCACAAAUCUAUAAACCCUCUCACUAAACAAAUUCCAUUUGUUCUCCUCUGUGCCCUUUAAUUACCCAGUACUUUCCCAUUAACUUAAUUAUUUAAGUGCUUUUCACUCCCAUGCUGUUGCAUGUACAGAUGCUAUGUGUAUAAUACAUUAAACCUGCAUAAUUGACUUACAUUUAACUGUCACCAGUUGUGUAAUGUUCUAUGUUUGUUUUGUAUUCAUGACACCGUGAAGAAAUAAAAAGCUUUGUGUUAGUAAA